GGCACAGUGGCUUAGUGGUUAGCAUUUGCCCCGCACCUGCAGGGUUGGGGGUUCAAAUCCUACCUUUGCCC